rnacentral:rRNA from 1 species
UACAGAGGGUGCAAGCGUUGUUCGGAAUUACUGGGCGUAAAGGGCGCGUAGGCGGUUCUGCAAGUUGGAUGUGAAAGCCCCGGGCUUAACCUGGGAAUGGCCGUUGAAACUGGCGAACUGGAGUGUGGCAGAGGGGGGUGGAAUUCCGCGUGUAGCAGUGAAAUGCGUAGAGAUGCGGAGGAACACCGAUGGCGAAGGCAGCCCCCUGGGCUAACACUGACGCUCAGGCACGAAAGCGUGGGGAGCAAACAGG